GAUGAACGCUGGCGGCGUGCCUAAUACAUGCAAGUCGAGCGAACGGACGAGAAGCUUGCUUCUCUGAUGUUAGCGGCGGACGGGUGAGUAACACGUGGAUAACCCACCUAUAAGACUGGGAUAACUUCGGGAAACCGUAGCUAAUACCGGAUAAUAUUUUGAACCGCAUGGUUCAAAAGUGAAAGACGGUCUUGCUGUCACUUAUAGAUGGAUCCGCGCUGCAUUAGCUAGUUGGUAAGGUAACGGCUUACCAAGGCAACGAUGCGUAGCCGACCUGAGAGGGUGAUCGGCCACACUGGAACUGAGACACGGUCCAGACUCCUACGGGAGGCAGCAGUAGGGAAUCUUCCGCAAUGGGCGAAAGCCUGACGGAGCAGCGCCGCGUGAGUGAUGAAGGUCUUCGGAUCGUAAAACUCUGUUAUUAGGGAAGAACAUAUGUGUAAGUAACUGUGCACAUCGUGACGGUACCUAAUCAGAAAGCCACGGCUAACUACGUG
rnacentral:rRNA from 1 species